rnacentral:rRNA from 1 species
AUACGGAGGAUGCAAGCGUUAUCCGGAUUUAUUGGGUUUAAAGGGUGCGUAGGCGGAUGAUUAAGCGUGAGGUGAAAUGCCACUGCUCAACAGUGGAACUGCCUCGCGAACUGGUUGUCUUGAAUGCUCCUGCCGUGGGAGGACUGUGUGGUGUAGCGGUGAAAUGCAUAGAGAUCACACAGAACACCGAUUGCGAAGGCAUCUCACGAAGGGGUGAUUGACGCUGAGGCACGAAAGCGUGGGGAUCAAACAGGAUUAGAUACCCUGGUAGUCCACGCAGUAAACGAUGAUAACUAACCGCUGGGUCGUAGUGAUUCAGUGGCCAAGCGAAAGCGAUAAGUUAUCCACCUGGGGAGUACGACCGCAAGGUUGAAACUCAAAGGAAUUGACGGGG